AGUGAACGCUGGCGGUAGGCCUAACACAUGCAAGUCGAACGGCAGCACAGUAAGAGCUUGCUCUUACGGGUGGCGAGUGGCGGACGGGUGAGGAAUACAUCGGAAUCUACUUUUUCGUGGGGGAUAACGUAGGGACACUUACGCUAAUACCGCAUACGACCUACGGGUGAAAGCAGGGGAUCUUCGGACCUUGCGCGAUUGAAUGAGCCGAUGUCGGAUUAGCUAGUUGGCGGGGUAAAGGCCCACCAAGGCGACGAUCCGUAGCUGGUCUGAGAUGAUGAUCAGCCACACUGGAACUGAGACACGGUCCAGACUCCUACGGGAGGCAGCAGUGGGGAAUAUUGGACAAUGGGCGCAAGCCUGAUCCAGACAUACCGCGUGGGUGAAGAAGGCCUUCGGGUUGUAAAGCCCUUUUGUUGGGAAAGAAAAGCAGCAGGUUAAUACCCCGCUGUUCUGACGGUACCCAAAGAAUAAGCACCGGCUAACUUCGUG
rnacentral:rRNA from 1 species